rnacentral:tRNA from 1 species
GUUAAAGUGGCAGAUUAGUGCAUUAGAGUUAAGUUCUAAAUAUGAAUGUUUAUUCCUUUAGUA